rnacentral:rRNA from 1 species
AAUUGUUCUUGGUCAUCAGUUCCAAAAGGCGAGUGUCCAUCGAAGAGGAAAAAUAGUCAAUAUCCAAUUUGUAGUAGCGUUUGCAGUGGACACCGAAAUCUUUGAUCUUGUCCAUUGGAAUCGACUCGUAAUUGGUAACGUCGUCGGCCGGCUGGUAAUGUUCGGGAUAGGUGCGAAAUGCGCCAAUGUCCACUUUGCCAGAGCACAGUGUCCUGCAAGGAUCGAUCACCACGGCCACGAACGGUUCCUCGUACAUUUGGUGCAACAUCUGCGUGUCGACAUCAAUGCCGGAAAGCCAGCAUCCGUAUCCGGGAUGGCUGUGAUACCAUCCGAUCACGUUUUCCAUACGCCCGAGCAUAUUUUUUCCAUUCAAAUAGCUCACCAUGUAUUCGUAAGCUUGUUCGUGGGCGUUGACCCGGGUUUCGGUCCCUUCGACAGGCAACGCGAACGAAUCCAAAAUUACAAACGUGUUCGCCAUCGGCUUGCCAAGCAGCAAACCCAUCACCUCGAUACCAUUGCCCGACUGCGCGUGAUUGGAAAUUUUCAUCAAAGUCAGCGUCGACAUUUGCACACGCUUGAAAUAAUGGGGAUCUUUUUUCCAAGGGCUUCGACGUAACAUCUCAUUCUGGAAUUCGUUGUCAUCGGCAAACAAUUCGUCACCUUUUCUCAUUAUAACUGGCCCCUCGCUUGACGUUGACUGUCCAUGUCGACUGGUCAUUUCAAACAAAUCUUUCAGAUCUAUACUUUAAUGGUCGAUAUAGACAGCAGGACGGUGGCCAUGGAAGUUGGAAUCCGCCAAGGAGUGUGUAACAACUCACCUGCCGAAUCGACUAGCCCUGAAAAUGGAUAGCGUUUGAGCUCCAGGCCCAUACCUGACCGUCUCAAUUACGCACUUUUUUUUCGGAAAAGGUGUAAUGAACGUUGAGACGGGUAGGAAGGUCGCGACAGUGUUGCUUUGAAGAGUUUUGAGCGUGAGCUCGCUCGGAGCCGCUGUUGGUGCAGAUCUUGGUGGUAGUAGCAAAUAUUCAAGUGAGAACCUUGAAGGCUGAAGUGGAGCAAGGUUCCAUGUGAACAGCAGUUGGACAUGGGUCAGUCGAUCCUAAGAAAACGGCGAAAGCUUGUUCGAAUUUGCGACAUGAAUUGUAAGACUGAAUAAUUAUUUGUGUGUGUGUUGUGGUGGAGGCGAUUGUGUCGUCACCAGUUGUUGUUGUGUGCAGUUGUCGUAUGUUUUCGAAAGGGAAUCCGGUUGAUAUUCCGGAACCGAGUAACGGAGACAAAGAGUAGCGCUUUAAUCUCUCUGUGGGGUUGGCGUUCAACUCAAUCGCGCGGUAACGCAAGCGAACUCGGAAAAUGACCGUCGUGAGUUUCGAAAAGAGUUUUCUUUUCUUUUUAAGGGACGCAUUCCCUGGAACCGGGUUGUCCGGAGAUAGGGAUUCUGGUAUCCAUAAAACGCCGACUUUUUCACGGUGUUCGGAGCGCUCUCGUCGGUACGUGAAAAUCCGAGCGACGCCUGGUAAAUCUCGUACUUGGUCGUACUGAUAUCCGCAGCAGGUCUCCAAGGUGAAUAGCCUCUGGCCGAUUAGAAUAAUGUAGGUAAGGGAAGUCGGCAAAACGGAUCCGUAACUUCGGAACAAGGAUUGGCUCUAAGGGCUGGGCCGAUCGGGCUGAGGUUUCAAGCGUGCAGUGUAUGCUUGGCUUAGUUGUGUUGAGGACUUGUUCACUUGCCACCGGUUGUUCGGCUGGUCGAGUGUAUUCGAGUCUGAAGCAGAGCUGGCCGACAGACCGGCACGUGCAGAACCUGAGCUGCGCGGCUGUCCGUUUUCGUGUACAGACCGUUUCGGUCGGCAUUCAACAGCCAACUUAGAACUGGCACGGACACAAGGAAUCUGACUGUAUAAUUAAAACAAAGCAUUGCGAUGGCCGAUGAUCGGUGAUGACGCAAUGCGAUUCCUGCCCAGUGCUCUGAAUGUCAAAGUGAAGAAAUUCAAUCAAGCGCGGGUAAACGGCGGGAGUAACUAUGACUCUCUUAAGGUAGCCAAAUGCCUCGUCAUCUAAUUAGUGACGCGUAUGAAUGGAUCAACAAGAUUCCUUCUGUCCCUAUCUACUAUCUAGCGAAACCACAGCCAAGGGAACGGGCUUGGCAAAAUCAGCGGGGAAAGAAGACCCUGUUGAGCUUGACUCUAGUCUGACUCUGUGAAGAGACAUGAAAGGUGUAGCAUAGGUGGGAGAUUGUCAAUUUGCCAUCGUUCACGCGAUGGUCCGGUGAUCGCCAAUGAAAUACCACUACUUUGAUCGUUUCUUUACUUAUUCGGUAAAGCGAAAAAAUUGUGGCCAAUUUGGCGGCGUUUAUGUCGCUGUUGGUCAUUGUUUUCAUGUUGGAUUGAAGCUUUGUUUACAGCCGUCGCUUUGUGUCUUCAUUUGGCGCAUUGUUGUACUGGGUUAUCCCAGUGUGUGAUGUGGUCACAAUGGAUGAUCGGCGAUAGGCUUGAAGUGAUUCGCUCCGGAAACAGUGUCAGACGGGGAGUUUGACUGGGGCGGUACAUCUGUUAAACGAUAACGCAGGUGUCCUAAGGUAAGCUCAGCGAGGACAGAAACCUCGCCUAGAGUAAACGGGCACAAGCUUACUUGAUUUUGAUUUCCAGUACGAAUAGAAACCGCGAAAGCGUGGCCUAUCGAUCCUUUUGAUUGUGUAGAUUUCAUGCAAGAGGUGUCAGAAAAGUUACCACAGGGAUAACUGGCUUGUGGCAGCCAAGCGUCCAUAGCGACGUUGCUUUUUGAUCCUUCGAUGUCGGCUCUUCCUAUCAUUGCGAAGCAGAAUUCGCCAAGCGUUGGAUUGUUCACCCACCAAUAGGGAACGUGAGCUGGGAUUAGACCGUCGUGAGACAGGUUAGUUUUACCCUACUGAUGACAAGUCGUUGCGAUAGUAAUCCUGCUCAGUACGAGAGGAACCGCGGGAUCAGACAUUUGGUUCAUGCGCUCGGCUGAAAGGCCGGUGGCGCGAAGCUAGCAUCUGCAAGAUUAUGACUGAACGCCUCUAAGUCAGAAUCUUUUCUAGUCAUUGGCAACGAUAAGUUGCGUCCAGACUCGAUGCGAGGAAACGAUUAGGCUUUGCUGCUAUACGGCGAAGCCAUUAUCAGACCACGGUAGCAGGCAGUAUGGGAUUGUUACGAAGAAGCAAUUUUUUGAAGUCAGUUGAAUUCAAUGAAACUGC